GUCUCCUCCCAAAGCGUAACGGAGGAGCACGAAGGUUGGCUAAUCCUGGUCGGACAUCAGGAGGUUAGUGCAAUGGCAUAAGCCAGCUUGACUGCGAGAGUGACGGCUCGAGCAGGUGCGAAAGCAGGUCAUAGUGAUCCGGUGGUUCUGAAUGGAAGGGCCAUCGCUCAACGGAUAAAAGGUACUCCGGGGAUAACAGGCUGAUACCGCCCAAGAGUUCAUAUCGACGGCGGUGUUUGGCACCUCGAUGUCGGCUCAUCACAUCCUGGGGCUGAAGUAGGUCCCAAGGGUACGGCUGUUCGCCGUUUAAAGUGGUACGCGAGCUGGGUUUAGAACGUCGUGAGACAGUUCGGUCCCUAUCUGCCGUGGGCGCUGGAGAAUUGAGGGGGGUUGCUCCUAGUACGAGAGGACCGGAGUGAACGCACCGCUGGUGUUCGGGUUGUCACGCCAGUGGCACUGCCCGGUAGCUAAGUGCGGAAAAGAUAAGUGCUGAAAGCAUCUAAGCACGAAACUUGCCCCGAGAUGAGUUCUCCCUGGCUCCUCGAGAGCCCUGAAGGGACGUUGAAGACGACGACGUUGAUAGGCCGGGUGUGUAAGCGCAGCGAUGCGUUGAGCUAACCGGUACUAAUGAC
rnacentral:rRNA from 1 species